UAGGGCCAUAUCGCGUUGAAAAUCCGGUUCCAGUACGAACACCGAAGUUAAGCGACGUCGAGCAUGACCAGUACCUAAAUGGGUGACCGCUUAGGGAUACCAGGUGCUGUAA